rnacentral:rRNA from 1 species
UACGAAGGGGGCUAGCGUUGCUCGGAAUCACUGGGCGUAAAGCGCACGUAGGCGGAUCUUUAAGUCAGGGGUGAAAUCCUGGAGCUCAACUCCAGAACUGCCUUCGAUACUGCGGGUCUCGAGUCCGGGAGAGGUGAGUGGAAUUCCUAGUGUAGAGAUGAAAUUCGUAGAUAUUAGGAAGAACACCAGUGGCGAAGGCGGCUCACUGGCCCGGUACUGACGCUGAGGCGCGAAAGCGUGGGGAGCAAACAGG